GACGUAGGGCGCGGGCGUUGUCCGGAUUUAUUGGGCGUAAAGAGCUCGUAGGCGGCUUGUCGCGUCGUUCGUGAAAACCUGCAGCUCAACUGCAGGCUUGCGGUCGAUACGGGCAGGCUAGAGUUCGGUAGGGGAGACUGGAAUUCCUGGUGUAGCGGUGAAAUGCGCAGAUAUCAGGAGGAACACCGGUGGCGAAGGCGGGUCUCUGGAACGCAACUGACGCUGAGACGCGAAAGCGUGGGGAGCGAACAGG
rnacentral:rRNA from 1 species